UCUCAUUAAGAUAUUCAGACACGCUCAACUUUCUUCUUUUCUCAUUUUCUUAAUAGCACCCACUCCUCCUCCCACCAUCAUUACUCACCAACAAAUAGUUCUCUUUUUCAUUUUUCUUCUUCUCAACUUCUUUCUCUUUUUUUUUUAACCUAAACGGGCUUGCUCUUCUUCGAACCCAGGCACGAUUGCUGUUGGUUUUUCCUCUAACCCACUUCAACGCCGAUCUUGAACCCAGGCCGCCACUGCUAUUGUCGUUGCCGUUUUUAGUCACCACCGACAGUGUGGGUCGUCCCACCAUCGACCUCAGAACCCCUCCCCCGAUUCUCACUCCCUUAUUUCUUCUCGAUCCACUUGGAUAGUUGAUGGUAGAGUUGUAGAAGAAGAUAAUGCAAUUUGCAAAGGACUUGGGUUCAGAGGAUAUGCGGAUGUUCAUCAUGGAAAGAUAAUUAUAGUUGGACAGGAUCAAGUGUAUAUAACAAUCAUUGUCCAAUGGUUCUCACUAAUGGCAUAGAAGUAAAGCUUCAAAGGAAUGUCCUUGAUGUCAUUGAAGCUCUCACUGGUAACGAGGAAGAUGAUGAUCUUGAUUUAGAUAGCAUUUCCUGGCAUGGAUCAGAUUUGAGGUAAGAACAAUUAAUCCAUACUUAAAUGACGAGAUGAAUCUUUGGCGUGAUUAGUGGAUUGAAUAUGUCCGAGCACAGGCAUUGCGACAAGGGUAUUACGAUGAUCAAUUUUUGUUUUUGUUUAUACUUUACACUAAAACCGGUUAUACUUUCAUAUAACUAAUGAUUAAGUAAGUUGAGUACGUAGUUUGUAUGUAUUUCAGUUUUUGUUCAUUUUUAGUUUAUGUUUAUACUUCAUACUAAUACAAAAGUAGAUUUUUUUUUC